rnacentral:rRNA from 1 species
CGCGUAUCCAACCUGCCCAUCACUUGGGGAUAACCUUGCGAAAGUAAGACUAAUACCCAAUGAUAUCUCUAGAAGACAUCUGAAAGAGAUUAAAGAUUUAUCGGUGAUGGAUGGGGAUGCGUCUGAUUAGCUUGUUGGCGGGGUAACGGCCCACCAAGGCGACGAUCAGUAGGGGUUCUGAGAGGAAGGUCCCCCACAUUGGAACUGAGACACGGCCCAAACUCCUACGGGAGGCAGCAGUGAGGAAUAUUGGUCAAUGGACGAGAGUCUGAACCAGCCAAGUAGCGUGCAGGAUGACGGCCCUAUGGGUUGUAAACUGCUUUUAUAAGGGAAUAAAGUGAGAGUCGUGACUCUUUUUGCAUGUACCUUAUGAAUAAGGACCGGCUAAUUCCGUGCCAGCAGCCGCGGUAAUACGGAAGGUCCGGGCGUUAUCCGGAUUUAUUGGGUUUAAAGGGAGCGUAGGCCGGAGAUUAAGCGUGUUGUGAAAUGUAGACGCUCAACGUCUGCACUGCAGCGCGAACUGGUUUCCUUGAGUACGCACAAAGUGGGCGGAAUUCGUGGUGUAGCGGUGAAAUGCUUAGAUAUCACGAAGAACUCCGAUUGCGAAGGCAGCUCACUGGAGCGCAACUGACGCUGAAGCUCGAAAGUGCGGGUAUCGAACAGGAUUAGAUACCCUGGUAGUCCGCACGGUAAACGAUGGAUGCCCGCUGUUGGUCUGAAUAGGUCAGCGGCCAAGCGAAAGCAUUAAGCAUCCCACCU